UGGGGAAUAUUGGGGCAAUGGGGCGAAAGCCUGACCCAGCAACGCCGCGUGAGGGAAGAAGGGUUUCGGCUCGUAAACCUCUGUCCUAUGGGACGAAUGAGAUGACGGUACCAUAGGAGGAAGCCCCGGCUAACUACGUGCCAGCAGCCGCGGUAAUACGUAGGGGGCGAGCGUUGUCCGGAAUGAUUGGGCGUAAAGGGCGCGUAGGCGGCCCGUUAAGUCUGGAGUGAAAGUCCUGCUUUCAAGGUGGGAAUUGCUUUGGAUACUGAUGGGCUGGAGUGCAGGAGAGGAAAGCGGAAUUACCGGUGUAGCGGUGAAAUGCGUA
rnacentral:rRNA from 1 species